AAUGGCAUAUUCAGCUACAAGAAGUUAUAAGAAUUCAUAAUAGAUAUUCCUUGAUCAUAAGAUGACAAGAAAAUUAUGUUCACACCUUUGAUCACAGUAGAAAAGACAUAUUUUUUCUAAGAUAUUUGUCUCCAAACUUUCCUAGCACAUUUGCUGAAAAAUUAUUAAAAUUAAGAUAUCUCUUUAAACACAUUAGAAACCCAAUGAGAAUAUAUGAAAGUGGCCAAUGAAAUUCAUGCAAAAAAUCUAAGAAUUUGAAGUAUAAUCCUUUCACAUCUAAAAAUGUUUAAUGUAGUAUGUAGUUGAAGCCAGUAUUCAAAUUAUACGAAAUUGCUUUCUCCGUUUGUAAGAAAAACAAAAAACAAAGAGACAACUG
rnacentral:lncRNA from 1 species